AUCUCUUUGGAUUCUUAUCUGCUGGAGCUAUCUCUCUUUGUCCUCCUUAUUUCCUUCUUAAGUAUGCUCCUCAAUUCCCCCAUACUCCUCUAGGGAUCCUCCAGGGAUAUGCUUGAUUCCAGCUGCCGAAAGCUAAGCGAUGCCUCCUUUUUUUCCUUGACAUAAUCUCAAUUUCGCUCAUCAUACACAGUUUGUCCUCUUACCUUCCUUUGCCUAUCAAUCUGACAGGAACGUACAUACCAUGUUCUCUCACUAUCCCACUUUCAAAAGCAUCCCAUUUUCCAGAUGUCAGUUUUUCUGCAAACAACCCCCUCCAAUCAACUUUUCCAAGUAUUCAAAGGUUAUUUAU